UGUUCUCACCAAAACUUUACUGCUGUUUACUCACAGCAGAAUUGAAUGGUCGUAAGGAGCAUGUUGCAUUUUAGCUUUUUACGUUUGUCACAAUUUACGAAAUGGUUCAACAUAAGCUGAUAUCCGCGCAUACGUGACAUUAUGAUGAGAAUAUAG
rnacentral:lncRNA from 1 species